rnacentral:rRNA from 1 species
AGAUAAGAUAAUAAGGGUAUAUGGUGAAUGCCUUGGUACGGGAUGAAGAUGAAGGACGUGGCAAGCUGCGAUAAGCCUCGGGGAGGUGUAAGUUACCUUUGAUCCGGGGAUUUCCGAAUGGGGAAACCCAUCCAGGGUAAUGCCUGGAUACCCCGACUUUAUGUCGGGGGGAUAACCCAGGGAAGUGAAACAUCUCAGUACCUGGAGGAAAAGAAACCGAAAGGCCCCGCCUUUGGCGGGGCAGGGAUUCCCUCAGUAGCGGCGAGCGAAAGGGGAAGAGCCUAAACUUAUCCAUGUGUCAUAGCCUGCACGCUUUGCAUGGAGAGGGUAGUGGGGUACCUCCGGGGCCCAGUGCAGAUGGGUCCAGAGAGUUAAAAAAUUCCUGUAUAGUUGAAUCCUUCUGGAAAGGGGAGCCAUAGAGGGUGAAAGCCCUGUAGACGAAAUGCAUGGAAUCUCUUUGGGAGGUAAACCCGAGUACCGUGGGACACGUGAAAUCCUGCGGGAAUCUGCCCGGACCACCGGGUAAGGCUAAAUACUAUUCCGUGACCGAUAGUGAACCAGUACCGUGAGGGAAAGGUGAAAAGAACCCCUGGCGGGGAGUGAAAUAGAACCUGAAACCAUAUACCUACAAAGCAGUGGGAGGUAACCUGUUGCAAGCCUUUGUGCCAGUGACAGGUCUGACCGCGUGCCUUUUGCAUAAUGAGCCGGCGAGUUAUUCUAACGAGCAUGCUUAACCCCGUGCUUCGCAGGUGCGGGGGUAGGCGUAGGGAAACCGAGUCUUAACUGGGCAUAGGCUGUAGUAGCAGGCAGAUGAGCAUUGGACAAAAGUUUACUUUUGUCCUGUGUUUUAUGUCUUUAAUCUACAGCUAUGUUCGUUGGAAUAGACCCGAAGCCGAGUGAGCUACCCAUGGCCAGGGUGAACCCCGCUUAACAGCGGGGGAAGGCCCGAACCAGUGUCUCGUGCAAUAGGCUUGGAUGAGCUGUGGGUAGGAGUGAAAGGCUAAACAAACUCGGUGAUAGCUGGUUCUGCCCGAAAUAUAUUUAGGUAUAGCCUCGGAAUAGAGAUGCGGAGGUAGAGCACUGGAUGGACUAGUGCCCGCAAGGGUAUCGAAUCCAACCAAACUCCGAAUGCCGUUUCUUGGUUUCCGGGAGUCAGGGUACGGGGGAUAAGCUCCGUGCCCGAGAGGGAAACAACCCAGACCACAGGCUAAGGUCCCAAAAUAGAGGCUAAGUGGUAAAGGAUGUGAGGUUUCCAAAACAGCCGGGAGGUUGGCUCAGAGGCAGCCAUCCUUUAAAGAAUGCGUAACAGCUCACCGGUCGAGGGGCCUUGCGCCGAAAAUGAUCGGGGCUUAAGUCUUUUACCGAAGCCGUGGUUCCCGACUUUAUGUCGGGGAGGUAGGGCAGCAUUCCAUUUGGGUUGAAGUUUCACCGUAAGGUGAAGUGGACUGAAUGGAAGAGAUUAGGCCGGCAUGAGUAGCGAUAACUCCGCUGAGAAAGCGGGGCACCGAAAACCCAAGGGUUCCUGGGGAAGGUUAGUCCGCCCAGGGUUAGUCGGUCCCUAAGCUGAGGCCGAAAGGCGUAGGCGAUGGAAAAGCCGUAAAUAUUCGGCUACCACCAAAGAGGCGUUUGACCGAAGGGGGGACAGAGAAGGAAGUGCCAGUCCCUUAUUGGAUUGGGAUUCAAGCCCGUAGGAGGUCCCGGCAGGCAAAUCCACCGGGACAUUAACUCUGAGGGGUUAUGAGGAGGGCUUUGCCCACAAACUGGCAGGACCGUUCUCUCAAGAAAAGCCUCGUAGGGAGUUUCUUUGGUGACCGUACCGUAAACCGACACAGGUGGGUGAGGAGAGUAUCCUCAGGUGUGCGAGAGAACCCUCGUUAAGGAACUCGGCAAUCUAACCCCGUAACUUCGGAAGAAGGGGUGCCUGGGAAGGUGAAGUCUCUUGCAGACGGAGCUUUCCUGGGCCGCAGUGAAACGGCCCAAGCGACUGUUUACCAAAAACACAGGCCUCUGCAAACCUGUAAGGGGAAGUAUAGGGGCUGAAACCUGCCCGGCGCCGGAAGGUUAAGGGGAAGGGUGCAAGCUCUGAACCGAAGCCCCGGCAAGCGGCGGCCGUAACUAUAACGGUCCUAAGGUAGCGAAAUUCCUUGUCGGGUAAGUUCCGACCUGCAUGAAUGGUGUAACGACUUGGGCGCUGUCUCGACGAGGGGCUCGGUGAAAUUGUAGUGGCGGUGAAGAUGCCGCCUACCCGCGACUGGACAAAUAGACCCCGUGAACCUUUACUGCAACUUGACACUGGAUCUUAGCAGGGCUUGUGUAGAAUAGGUGGGAGGCUUUGAACCCUCAACGCUAGUUGGGGGGGAGCCGACAGUGAAAUACCACCCUUGUUCUGUUGGGGUUCUAACCCUUGCUGUGUAAGCCGGGGGACAAUGUCAGGUGGGUAGUUUGACUGGGGCGGUUGCCUCCUAAAAGGUAACGGAGGCGCUCAAAGGUUGGCUCAGCACGGUCGGUAAUCGUGCGUUGAGUGUAAAGGCAUAAGCCAGCCUGACUGCGACUUGGACACAAGGAGCAGAGGGGAAACCCGGACUUAGUGACCCGACAGUUCCGUGUGGAAGGACUGGAGAUCAUCGGAUAAAAGGUACUCCGGGGAUAACAGGCUAAUCGGGCCCAAGAGUUCACAUCGACGGCCCGGUUUGGCACCUCGAUGUCGGCCCAUCGCAUCCUGGGGCUGGAGAAGGUCCCAAGGGUUGGUCUGUUCGCCCAUUAAAGCGGUACGCGAGCUGGGUUCAGAACGUCGUGAGACAGUUCGGUCCAUAUCCGUCGCGGGCGUAGGAGAUUUGAGGGGAGCUGUCCCUAGUAUGAGAAGACCGGGAUGGACGAACCUCUAGUGUACCAGUUGUGGCGCCAGCUGCAUCGCUGGGUAGCUAUGUUCGGAAGGGAUAACCGCUGAAGGCAUCUAAGUGGGAAGCCCACCCCAAGAUUAGAUCUCACGUGAGAUUAGUUUGUUAGUA